GCGGCGUGCCUAAUACAUGCAAGUCGAACGAACUCUGGUAUUGAUUGGUGCUUGCAUCAUGAUUUACAUUUGAGUGAGUGGCGAACUGGUGAGUAACACGUGGGAAACCUGCCCAGAAGCGGGGGAUAACACCUGGAAACAGAUGCUAAUACCGCAUAACAACUUGGACCGCAUGGUCCGAGUUUGAAAGAUGGCUUCGGCUAUCACUUUUGGAUGGUCCCGCGGCGUAUUAGCUAGAUGGUGGGGUAACGGCUCACCAUGGCAAUGAUACGUAGCCGACCUGAGAGGGUAAUCGGCCACAUUGGGACUGAGACACGGCCCAAACUCCUACGGGAGGCAGCAGUAGGGAAUCUUCCACAAUGGACGAAAGUCUGAUGGAGCAACGCCGCGUGAGUGAAGAAGGGUUUCGGCUCGUAAAACUCUGUUGUUAAAGAAGAACAUAUCUGAGAGUAACUGUUCAGGUAUUGACGGUAUUUAACCAGAAAGCCACGGCUAACUACGUGCCAGCAGCCGCGGUAAUACGUAGGUGGCAAGCGUUGUCCGGAUUUAUUGGGCGUAAAGCGAGCGCAGGCGGUUUUUUAAGUCUGAUGUGAAAGCCUUCGGCUCAACCGAAGAAGUGCAUCGGAAACUGGGAAACUUGAGUGCAGAAGAGGACAGUGGAACUCCAUGUGUAGCGGUGAAAUGCGUAGAUAUAUGGAAGAACACCAGUGGCGAAGGCGGCUGUCUGGUCUGUAACUGACGCUGAGGCUCGAAAGUAUGGGUAGCAAACAGGAUUAGAUACCCUGGUAGUCCAUACCGUAAACGAUGAAUGCUAAGUGUUGGAGGGUUUCCGCCCUUCAGUGCUGCAGCUAACGCAUUAAGCAUUCCGCCUGGGGAGUACGGCCGCAAGGCUGAAACUCAAAGGAAUUGACGGGGGCCCGCACAAGCGGUGGAGCAUGUGGUUUAAUUCGAAGCUACGCGAAGAACCUUACCAGGUCUUGACAUACUAUGCAAAUCUAAGAGAUUAGACGUUCCCUUCGGGGACAUGGAUACAGGUGGUGCAUGGUUGUCGUCAGCUCGUGUCGUGAGAUGUUGGGUUAAGUCCCGCAACGAGCGCAACCCUUAUUAUCAGUUGCCAGCAUUAAGUUGGGCACUCUGGUGAGACUGCCGGUGACAAACCGGAGGAAGGUGGGGAUGACGUCAAAUCAUCAUGCCCCUUAUGACCUGGGCUACACACGUGCUACAAUGGAUGGUACAACGAGUUGCGAACUCGCGAGAGUAAGCUAAUCUCUUAAAGCCAUUCUCAGUUCGGAUUGUAGGCUGCAACUCGCCUACAUGAAGUCGGAAUCGCUAGUAAUCGCGGAUCAGCAUGCCGCGGUGAAUACGUUCCCGGGCCUUGUACACACCGCCCGUCACACCAUGAGAGUUUGUAACACCCAAAGUCGGUGGGGUAACCUUUUAGGAACCAGCCGCCUAAGGUGGGACAGAUGAUU
rnacentral:rRNA from 1 species